GAUCAUGGCUCAGGACGAACGCUGGCGGCGUGCCUAACACAUGCAAGUCGAGCGAGGAGAUUCCUUCGGGAUGAUCCUAGCGGCGGACGGGUGAGUAACACGUGGGCAACCUGCCUCAUAGAGAGGAAUAGCCUUCCGAAAGGGAGAUUAAUACCUCAUAACAUUGCAGUUUCGCAUGGAACAGCAAUUAAAGGAGUAAUCCGCUAUGAGAUGGGCCCGCGGCGCAUUAGCUAGUUGGUGAGGUAACGGCUCACCAAGGCGACGAUGCGUAGCCGACCUGAGAGGGUGAUCGGCCACAUUGGGACUGAGACACGGCCCAGACUCCUACGGGAGGCAGCAGUGGGGAAUAUUGCACAAUGGGGGAAACCCUGAUGCCAGCAACGCCGCGUGAGUGAUGACGGCCUUCGGGUUGUAAAGCUCUGUCUUCAGGGACGAUAAUGACGGUACCUGAGGAGGAAGCCACGGCUAACUACGUGCCAGCCGCCGC
rnacentral:rRNA from 1 species